rnacentral:tRNA from 1 species
GGAUACAUAACUCAGUUAGGAAGAGUGUCAUGUUGACAUCGUGAAAGACACUGGUUCAAAUCCAGUUGUAUCCA